rnacentral:rRNA from 1 species
UACGAAGGAUGCAAGCGUUACUCGGAAUUACUGGGCGUAAAGCGUGCGUAGGUGGUUUGUUAAGUCUGAUGUGAAAGCCCUGGGCUCAACCUGGGAAUUGCAUUGGAUACUGGCAGGCUAGAGUGCGGUAGAGGGUAGUGGAAUUCCCGGUGUAGCAGUGAAAUGCGUAGAGAUCGGGAGGAACAUCCGUGGCGAAGGCGACUACCUGGACCAGCACUGACACUGAGGCACGAAAGCGUGGGGAGCAAACAGGG